AUGAACGCUGGCGGCGUGCCUCACACAUGCAAGUCGAGCGAAGCACUUACUUUAGAUUUCUUCGGAAUGACGAAGUUUGUGACUGAGCGGCGGACGGGUGAGUAACGCGUGGGCAACCUGCCCUGUACAGGGGGAUAACAGUUAGAAAUGACUGCUAAUACCGCAUAAGCCCACAGCUUCGCAUGAAGCAGUGGGAAAAACUCCGGUGGUACAGGAUGGGCCCGCGUCUGAUUAGCUAGUUGGUAAGGUAACGGCUUACCAAGGCGACGAUCAGUAGCCGACCUGAGAGGGUGACCGGCCACAUUGGGACUGAGACACGGCCCAAACUCCUACGGGAGGCAGCAGUGGGGAAUAUUGCACAAUGGGGGAAACCCUGAUGCAGCGACGCCGCGUGAGCGAUGAAGUAUUUCGGUAUGUAAAGCUCUAUCAGCAGGGAAGAAAGUGACGGUACCUGACUAAGAAGCCCCGGCUAACUACGUG
rnacentral:rRNA from 1 species